CUCUCUCUCUCUCUCUCACAUCGUAGCUCCGACGUCUCCCUCCUCCGAUUCUGUUAAUGAGAUUCCGGCACCAGUCCCUGAUCUCCGGAAUCACCGGCGAUCGGCAGGCACAUCGAUCGGUGACGCUUCUCCUUCAGAUUGUUCCCCGUAGGCGACCUCCUUAUUUGGUUUCUGCUCCAGCUCCGGUUGUCCUCAUCUUCCUCCAGAACGUCGUUCAGAAUAUGACGGCUCGUGGUUGCGAGCAAGAAGCUUGUGGUUGAGUAACUUCUUACGCCUUCAUCUUUGAUUGUUUUUGUUCAUAGCAUUUUUGCUUUGUUUAAUCUUCGUGUUUAGCUAGUGUAGCUAUGGAAUUAGUUUCUCCGUGGUUUGAUUCCUAUUUUGUGCUUCGUUUUUGAUAUUCUCUUUUAUUUGAUUUGUGACUGUUUUCUUGUUGCUUUGAGGUUUUGGAAUGAACAAGGCAUUUUUAUUUUACAAUCAGUUUAGUUUUCUCAGACUUUUGCUACUUAAUUUUGAUGUUUGACUUCGAUUUUUCUGAAAUUAGCUAUGAUUCAUCUAAUUUCUUGAAUCUGUGUAUUUUUUGUUUGUUUCUGUAAUGAUUAUCUAUAAGCUUUGCGUUUUUGAACUGCAUAAUGCCUUUUGUUUUCAGUUUUCACAGUCACUUUAGAUGCUUUAGAGGAGUUUCUGUGAAAUUAAAUUUUCUUUGUCUAAUUUCUCGUGUGUUUUUUUGAAAGUUGCUGAAAGCCAAGGCUGAACCAAAAAAGACGCUGAAGAAGGAAAAAUUUUAGAAAGUAAGCAAGAAGGAUGCUAAUGCUUUGAAGCGUCCUGCUGGAGCCUUCUUCAUCUUCAUGUGAAAACAAUUUUUUUGUUUACUAUUCGAUUUGUAUUGAGUGAUCUCUGUAGUGUCAAUGUGUCGUUGCUCUUAUUUUAAUCUUAUGCAGUGUUUGGUUUUGUGGUUGUGAUGAAUUACAGGGAGGAGUUCCACAAACAAAUUGGAGUUUCCUGAUUUAAAAUAUGGACUGGAUGUGAGUGUAUAGAUCUGCACAAUGAGGGGACAAAGUUUAGCCUGGAACUCUUUUCCUUUGCAUUUGCAGUAGUAGAUUUCGAAAAUCAUAUGAAUUUGGAUAUUGAAGCCUCCAUUGACCAAGAGAUCAUUCAGCCAACCAAGAAAUACUUAAAUGAAGUCUCGCACUGAAGGUGGCAAAAUUAUGCCUAUGGGUUUUGAGUGUCACCAUUGAAAAAUGACAGUAGCAUUACAACAUUGAUAGUAGCUUUAUACAACUAUUGUAAUAGAUAUUCACAACUAUGUUAGUGGUUUUUUACAACUAUGGUAGUAGCUUUUUACAUAGUUAUAUUAUUGAAC